rnacentral:rRNA from 1 species
GGUUCAUUCAAAUUUCUGCCCUAUCAACUUUCGAUGGUAGGAUAGUGGCCUACCAUGGUUUCAACGGGUAACGGGGAAUUAGGGUUCUAUUCCGGAGAGGGAGCCUGAGAAACGGCUACCACAUCCAAGGAAGGCAGCAGGCGCGCAAAUUACCCAAUCCCGACACGGGGAGGUAGUGACAAUAAAUACUGAUACAGGGCUCUUUUGGGUCUUGUAAUUGGAAUGAGUACAAUUUAAAUCCCUUAACGAGGAACAAUUGGAGGGCAAGUCUGGUGCCAGCAGCCGCGGUAAUUCCAGCUCCAAUAGCGUAUAUUCAAAGUUGUUGCAGUUAAAAAGCUCGUAGUUUGAACCUUGGGCCUGGCUGGCCGGUCCGCCUCACCGCGUGCACUGGUCCGGCCGGGCCCUUUCCUUCUGGGGAGCCGCAUGCCCUUCACUGGGUGUGUCGGGGAACCAGGACUUUUACUUUGAAAAAUUAGAGUGUCAAAGCAGGCCUAUGCUCGAAUACAUUAGCAUGGAAUAAUAAAAUAGGACGUGUGGUUCUAUUUGUGGUCUAGAAGUCGCCGUAAAUGAUUUAAUAAGGGGGAUAGUU